AUUGAACGCUGGCGGCAGGCUUAACACAUGCAAGUCGAGCGAGCGGCGGACGGGUGAGUAUUGUAUGGGGACCUGCUCGUGAGGGGGGGCAAACCACUGGAAACGGUAGUUAAUACCGCGUAUUAUCGGGUGUACCCAUAUGGGAUUAGCUAGUGGGUGAGGUAAUGGCUCACCUAGGCGACGAUCCCUAGCUGGUCUGAGAGGAUGAUCAGCCACACUGGGACUGAGACACGGCCCAGACUCCUACGGGAGGCAGCAGUGGGGAAUAUUGCACAAUGGGCGCAAGCCUGAUGCAGCCAUGCCGCGUGUAUGAAGAAGGCCCUCGGGUUGUAAAGUACUUUCAGCGGGGAGGCGUUACCCGCAGAAGAAGCACCGGCUAACUCCGUGCCAGCAGCCGCGGUAAUUC
rnacentral:rRNA from 1 species